UUAAUAGCUUAAAGAGAAGACCUAGGUACUUACAGACGAAGAAGGACGUUUUAUAACCGACGAAACACUUCGUUUAGCUGGUUUAAAAGCAUUUUAAAAUCGAAGAUUUCCGAAUAGGGUAUAACCUUUUAAUUUUUUAAUUUUAUAAUUAAAAAAAGUUAACCUGGGGAACUGAAUCAUCUUAGUACCCAGAGGAAAAGAAGUAAAAAACGAUUUCCUUAGUAGUGGCGAGCGAAAUGGAAAUAAAAAUAUAAUUUUAUUAUAUUUUUAGUAUAAGAUUAAAUUUUAUAAUAAGUAAAAUGGAAAAAGUUAUUUUCCGUUUGAAUAAUUAAUAUCGAGUAUCACCUCGUAAUACUAAAUACUUGUAAGUAACCGAUAGUGAAUUAGUACUGUGAAGGAAAGGUGAAAAGAACCCCGAAGUGAGGGGAGUGAAAAGAAUGCAAAACUUUAAGCUAACAGAAACAAUAGAAGGGUUUUUUAUAUUAUAAAAAAGAUAUAUAGCCUAACUAUGUACCUAUUGAAGUAGGGACCGAUGAGUCAUAGUUUGUAAGCAAAAUAAGGUUAAGGAUAAUAUUAAAAAAAUCCGGAGCCAGAGUGAAAGCGAGCUUAAAAUAAAGCGUUAAUUAAUUUAAAAAGUUUACUUCUAUGAACCCGAAGCCGGAUGAUCUAAUCAUAUUCAAAGUGAAACUUAGGUUAAACUAAGUGGAAGCUUGUACUGGUUAAUAUUGCAAAAUUAUCAGAUGAAGUAUGAUUAGGGGUGAAAUGCCAAUCGAAUCCGGAGCUAGCUGGUUCUCCCCGAAAUGUAUUUAAGUACAGCUGCUAUUUAAGUAAUAGUUAGGGGUAAAGCACUGUUUUUUUAUUAAAAUUAUAAUAUUAGUUAUUAUUUUUUAAUUAAUUCAACCUAUGAAUACUACUAUUAUUUAGCAAGUGAGACUUUAGGGGCUAAUCUCUUAAGUCAAAAGGGAAACAGCCCAGACCAUAAGUUAAGGUCCUUAAAGAUUAUUAAGUUAUAAAGGAAGUAAAAUUAUUUAAACAGCCAGAAGGUUGGCUUAGAAGCAGCCAUCCUUUAAAGAGUGCGUAAUAGCUCACUGGUUUAGUGAUUUUGUGCCGAAAAUUUUAGGGAAUAAAUAAUCUACCGAAACUAUGGGUUAUACUUUUUUUUAUAAAUUAUAACGGUAGGGGAGCGUUCUACCUUAGAAUAAAGCUUUAAUAAUAAUUAAAGUGAACGAAGUAGAAGUGAAAAUAUCGGUUUGAGUAGCAACAUUAUCAGUAAAAAUCUGAUACUCCUAAAAUUUAAGGUUUCCUACGAAAUUGUUUAUCAACGUAGGGUUAGUCGGGGCCUAAAAUGAGAUGUAAUGUGUAAUUGAUGGGUAAUUAGAUUAAUAUUUCUAUACCAUAAUUAUUUAGCAAUAAGUAACAAGUUUUUUUUUAUUAUAUUAAGUGUUGGUUAUCUUAAUUAAAAUAAAAUUAAAUUUCAAGAAAAACUAUAUUUGUAUAAAAAAUAAUUGUGCUCGUACCUUAAACCGACACAGGUAAAUUAGUAAAAAAUACUAAGGAGAACGAGAUAACUCUCUCUAAGGAACUCGGCAAAUUAAUCCUGUAACUUUGGGAGAAGGGAUACCUUUACUAAGGUACUAAAAGAGGCCCAAGCGACUGUUUAUCAAAAACACAGGUCUCCGCGAAGUUGAAAAAUGAUGUAAGGAGGCUGACGCCUGCCCAGUGCCGGUAGGUUAAAAUAAAUAUAAAUUAAUAUUAUUUAUUAAGCCCUGGUAAACGGCGGCUGUAACUAUAACGGUCCUAAGGUAGCGAAUUUCCUUGUCGGGUAAGUUCCGACCCGCACGAAAGGCGUAACGACUUGGGCACUGUCUUUGAGAGAGACUCGGCGAAAUAGAAAUGUCCGUGAAGAUGCGGACUUCCUACACCAGGACAGAAAGACCCUAUGAAGCUUUACUAUAACUUGAUAUUGAAUUUUAUAAUUAAAUGCGCAGAAUAAGUGGGAGAUUUUGAAAUUAUUUUUUAGGAGAUAAUUGAAUCCUUUUUUUGAGAUACCACUCUUUCAAUAAUAAAAUUCUAACAAAAAUUCUGUAAACCAGUUUUUGGACAGUUUUAGGUUGGUAGUUUGACUGGGGCGGUCGCCUCCUAAAAAGUAACGGAGGUGUACAAAGGUUUUUUAUAAUGUAAAAGUAAAAAAAAAAGCUUAACUGUGAGACUUACAAGUCGAUCAGAGACGAAAGUCGGUUUUAAUGAUCCGACAAUAUUAAGUGGCCCAGUGCCGGUAGGUUAAAAUAAAUAUAUUUAAAAUAAUAGUAUUUAUUAAGCCCUGGUAAACGGCGGCUGUAACUAUAACGGUCCUAAGGUAGCGAAUUUCCUUGUCGGGUAAGUUCCGACCCGCACGAAAGGCGUAACGACUUGGGCACUGUCUUUGAGAGAGACUCGGCGAAAUAGAAAUGUCCGUGAAGAUGCGGACUUCUUACACCAGGACAGAAAGACCCUAUGAAGCUUUACUAUAACUUGAUAUUGAAUUUUAUAAUUUAAUGCGCAGAAUAAGUGGGAGAUUUUGAAAUUAUUUUUUAGGAAAUAAUUGAAUCUUUUUUGAGAUACCACUCUUUCAAUAAUGAAAUUCUAACAAAAAUUCUGUAAACCAGUUUUUGGACAUUUUUAGGUUGGUAGUUUGACUGGGGCGGUCGCCUCCUAAAAAGUAACGGAGGUGUACAAAGGUUUUUUAUAAUAUAAAAGUAAAAGAAAGCUUAACUGUGAGACUUACAAGUCRAUCAGAGACGAAAGUCGGUUUUAAUGAYCCGACAAUAUUAAGUGAUARUAUUGUCGCUUAACGGAUAAAAGUUACUCUAGGGAUAACAGGCUGAUCUUCCCCGAUAGUUCUUAUUGACGGGAAGGUUUGGCACCUCGAUGUCGGCUUGUCGCAUCCUGGGGCGGUAGUACGUCCCAAGGGUUGGUCUGUUCGCCCAUUAAAGCGGCACGUGAGCUGGGUUCAGAACGUCGCAAGACAGUUUGGUCCGUAUCCGGUGUAGGCGCUAGAACAUUGAAAGAAUUUCUUUUAGUACGAGAGGAUCAAAGAAACUAUACCUAUGAUGUACCAGUUAUUCUGCCAAGAGUAUACGCUGGGAAGUUAAGUAUAGAUAAAUAAUAUAUUAACUGCUGAAAGCAUCUAAGCGGGAAAAAUAUCUUAAGAUAAAUGUUCUUUUCUAUUAAAAAUAAGAUUAAGAAAUCAAUUAGAAUAAUUGAUAGUUAGCUUUUAGAUAGUAUAAGUAUAGUAAUAUAUUUAGCUUAUAAGACUAAUACUUCGAGUAUUUGAACUUUAUAGCU
rnacentral:rRNA from 1 species